CAGAGCGAUAAGGAUGAGUUCAC
rnacentral:siRNA from 1 species